rnacentral:lncRNA from 1 species
GUUGGGCAUGGAGUUCAAGUGAUGGAGUCCAUAGUGAGCUAGUUGAUCUUCUAAUACUAAAAAAAAAUAUUCAAUCUUGCGAACCUUAUUCUAUAAUGAUGGAUUGGAUUGGUUUGAUAAAUAUGAUUGAAUUUUUAUGAUUGAUACGAUUAUUUCAAUAUUUUUGUGGAUUUGUUAUUAUUUAGGCCUUGUAUGAUUUCUAAGGCAUUACUCUAGGAUUCAAAUGGCCAUGUUAUGCGGUAGAUCUAGAUAUUAAGUUCAGGGCAUGAC